rnacentral:ncRNA from 1 species
AAUGAAAAGCUUACCCUGCCAAGGAAACGGGCUUGGCAAGCACAGCUGGAAAAGAUUAUGUUGGGCUUGACUCUAGUCCGACUCUAUGAAGAGUCAUGAAAGGUGUAACAUAAGUGGGAGGUUAUUACAUUAUUGUCAUUGAUGGUACGAGGGUACCACUAGUGAAAUACCACUACUUUCCUGAUUCUUGGAGCUCUAUGUGUUUCGAAAUUUUUAAUUCAAGUUGAACCAUUCGGUGGUUUAACGAUUCGCACUGAAGACAGUGUCCGGCGGAGUAUUUUCCUGGGGCGAUCAUCUCUCAAAACGUAACGCAGGUAUCCUAAGACUAGCUCUGAGAGAAGUAAAAGGGCAAAAGCUCACUUGAUCUUGAUUUCCAGUACUAAUACAGGGCAGAAGCGUGACCUGUCGAUGCUUUUAAAUUUUCAUAGAAGUUUGUUAUAAAAAUUACCACAGGGAUAACUGGCUUGCGGUAGCCAAGCAUCCAUAGCGGAGUCAUUGCGAAGCAGAAUUCGCCAAGUUCACACACCAAUAGGGGACGUGAGUUGGGUUUAAAACGUCGUGAGAUAGGUCAGUUUUACCUAACUGUGUUGCGAUAACAAUCCUGCUCAAUGCGAGAGGAGCCGUAAGUUUAAACAUUUAAUUCAUGUGCUUGAUCGAUCGACCAAUGGUGCGAAGCUAUCAUCUGAGGAAUGACGGCUGAGCGCCUCUAAGUUAGUGUCCCACCUGGACAAGGCAAGGAUAAAUUUGCUUCCCAGUGUCGGGUGGCACUAUUAUGUAAUUAUGACUGCAACGCAUCCACUAUUGCAGCUAAUAUCCCAUUAUGUGCCUUGCUACUUGAUCGAAUGGUUAAGUGGUUGCUACGACCGGAUUACUCCGGUACAAUGUCAGGACGCAAGAUCACUUGCAGAUUACCUAUUAUCCGAUGUUUCUUUUGUAAUUACAGGUGAGAAGGUACAUAUAUAUAUAUAU